UACGAAGGUGGCUAGCGUUGUUCGGAAUUACUGGGCGUAAAGCGCGCGUAGGCGGAUUUGCAAGUCGGGGGUGAAAUCCCGAGGCUCAACCUCGGAACUGCCUUCGAUACUGCAAAUCUCGAGUCCGGAAGAGGUGAGUGGAAGUCCUAGUGUAGAGGUGAAAUUCGUAGAUAUUAGGAAGAACACCAGUGGCGAAGGCGGCUCACUGGUCCGGUACUGACGCUGAGGCGCGAAAGCGUGGGGAGCAAACAGG
rnacentral:rRNA from 1 species